ACGGGUGAGUAAUGCGUAGGAAUAUACCUUAAAGAGGGGGAUAACCUGGGGAAACUCAGGCUAAUACCGCGUAAACUCUACGGAGCAAAGCUGGGGACCGCAAGGCCUGGCGCUUUAAGAAUAGCCUGCGUCCGAUUAGCUAGUUGGUGUGGUAAAGGCCCACCAAGGCGACGAUCGGUAGCUGGUCUGAGAGGACGAACAGCCACACUGGGACUGAGACACGGCCCAGACUCCUACGGGAGGCAGCAGUGGGGAAUAUUGGACAAUGGGGGCAACCCUGAUCCAGCAAUGCCGCGUGUGUGAAGAAGGCCUGAGGGUUGUAAAGCACUUUCAGUGGGGAGGAGGAUUGCGAGGUUAAGAGCCAUGUAAUUGGACGUUACCCACAGAAGAAGCACCGGCUAACUCCGUGCCAGCAGCCGCGGUAAUACGGAGGGUGCGAGCGAUAAUCGGAAUUACUGGGCGUAAAGGGUGCGUAGGUGGUUAAUUAAGUUAGAUGUAAAAGCCCUGGGCUUAACCUGGGAUUGAGAUUUAAUACUGAUUGACUGGAGUAUUGGAGAGGGUAGUGGAAUUUCCGGU
rnacentral:rRNA from 1 species